rnacentral:rRNA from 1 species
AUUGAACGCUGGCGGAAUGCUUUACACAUGCAAGUCGAACGGCAGCACGGACUUCGGUCUGGUGGCGAGUGGCGAACGGGUGAGUAAUGUAUCGGAACGUGCCCAGUCGUGGGGGAUAACGUAGUGAAAAUUACGCUAAUACCGCAUACGAUCUAUGGAUGAAAGCGGGGGAUCGCAAGACCUCGCGCGAUUGGAGCGGCCGAUAUCAGAUUAGGUAGUUGGUGGGGUAAAGGCCCACCAAGCCAACGAUCUGUAGCUGGUCUGAGAGGACGACCAGCCACACUGGAACUGAGACACGGUCCAGACUCCGACGGGAGGCAGCAGUGGGUAAUUUUGGACAAUGGGCGAAAGCCUGAUCCAGCCAUUCCGCGUGCAGGAUGAAGGCCCUCGGGUUGUAAACUGCUUUUGUACAGAACGAAAAGGUUUCUACUAAUACUAGGAGCUCAUGACGGUACUGUAAGAAUAAGCACCGGCUAACUACGUGCCAGCCGCCGCGGUAA